CCUACGGGAGGCAGCAGUAGGGAAUAUUGGACAAUGGGUGCGAGCCUGAUCCAGCCAUGCCGCGUGCAGGAAGAAGGCCUUCUGGGUUGUAAACUGCUUUUGCCGGGGGAUAAAAGACCCAUGCGUGGGGAAUUGAAGGUACCCGGUGAAUAAGCCACGGCUAACUACGUGCCAGCAGCCGCGGUAAUACGUAGGUGGCGAGCGUUGUCCGGAUUUAUUGGGUUUAAAGGGUGCGUAGGCGGCCCCGUAAGUCAGUGGUGAAAUACGGCAGCUCAACUGUCGAGGUGCCAUUGAUACUGCGGGGCUUGAGUACAGUCGAGGUAGGCGGAAUUGACGGUGUAGCGGUGAAAUGCUUAGAUAUCGUCAAGAACACCGAUAGCGAAGGCAGCUUGCUAGGCUGUAACUGACGCUGAGGCACGAAAGUGCGGGGAUCAAACAGGAUUAGAUACCCUGGUAGUCCGCACAGUAAACGAUGGUCACUCGGUGUUGGCGGUACACGGCCNGCGCUAGCGAAGACGUUAAGUAGACCGACCGUCGGGAGGUACGCCCGCCGAAGGGUAAGGUAAACGUUAAAGUUAAGUUAAGUAGUUACGGUUCGUAGAGACGCGACGACGGACGACGACGGAGGGAGGAGG
rnacentral:rRNA from 1 species